rnacentral:rRNA from 1 species
CAGCAUGUGUGUUAGUGGAAGCGUCUGGAAAGGCGCGCGAUACAGGGUGACAGCCCCGUACACAAAAGCGCAUGUGCUGUGAGCUCGAUGAGUAGGGCGGGACACGUGGUAUCCUGUCUGAAUAUGGGGGGACCAUCCUCCAAGGCUAAAUACUCCUGACUGACCGAUAGUGAACCAGUACCGUGAGGGAAAGGCGAAAAGAACCCCGGCGAGGGGAGUGAAAAAGAACCUGAAACCGUGUACGUACAAGCAGUGGGAGCACCCUUUGGGGUGUGACUGCGUACCUUUUGUAUAAUGGGUCAGCGACUUAUAUUCUGUAGCAAGGUUAACCGAAUAGGGGAGCCGGAGGGAAACCGAGUCUUAAUUGGGCGUUAAGUUGCAGGGUAUAGACCCGAAACCCGGUGAUCUAGCCAUGGGCAGGUUGAAGGUUGGGUAACACUAACUGGAGGACCGAACCGACUAAUGUUGAAAAAUUAGCGGAUGACCUGUGGCUGGGGGUGAAAGGCCAAUCAAACCGGGAGAUAGCUGGUUCUCCCCGAAAGCUAUUUAGGUAGCGCCUCGUGAACUCAUCUCCGGGGGUAGAGCACUGUUUCGGCUAGGGGGCCAUCCCGGCUUACCAACCCGAUGCAAACUGCGAAUACCGGAGAAUGUUAUCACGGGAGACACACGGCGGGUGCUAACGUCCGUCGUGAAGAGGGAAACAACCCAGACCGCCAGCUAAGGUCCCAAAGUCAUGGUUAAGUGGGAAACGAUGUGGGAAGGCCCAGACAGCCAGGAUGUUGGCUUAGAAGCAGCCAUCAUUUAAAGAAAGCGUAAUAGCUCACUGGUCGAGUCGGCCUGCGCGGAAGAUGUAACGGGGCUAAACCAUG